UUAAAAUAGUGAUAAUUUUGAUGUGAUAUGAAAGAUUUGGGUGAGAUAAAUGCAAAAAACCAAAGUUUAAGUAUUACAUGUAUGCAAAUGCUCCUUUUUUUUUAACUGGGCAAAAAUGAUGUUGUAAAUUUUAGUGUUUUGAAAUGCUAAGACCGGGAAAACAAAUGAGGUUGGCAGAUGUGAAAAGGAUGGGAGCUAAGCAUAUACUGGAAAAUCAAAUAUAUAAGCCGAUUAGAGUUCGUGUGGGCAGACAUAAGGAAGGGACAGGUUGAGAUCCCAGAGUUUGUGCAGCGUCAUGAUGAAGUUCUUGAGCGCAGGCCUUUAACAGACUAUGGCCUAGAGGCUGAUCCUCUCCGCCUAUCUGCUAUGGAGGCCAUGGAAGGUUCAAUUGGAAGGUAUGCAGAUAGAUGGUCUUGCCGGGAAGAUAUGUAAUUAGUCAACUUUUUCUUAUAGGCCCUAAUAAUGAAAACAUAAUGUGAAUAGCAGAGGGUGCCAGAUAGUCUGGUUGAUAAUGAUUUAGUAGUUAUUGUCAUGAUUUUGAAUUUGAUCUUGCCUGAGUAAUAAUAAAUCUCGUUCGUGCUUAA